AUUGAACGCUGGCGGCAGGCCUAACACAUGCAAGUCGAACGAGUGGCGGACGGGUGAGUAAUGUCUGGGAAACUGCCUGAUGGAGGGGGAUAACUACCGGAAACGGUAGCUAAUACCGCAUACCAUCAGAUGUGCCUAGAUGGGAUUAGCUUGUUGGUGGGGUAAAGGCUUACCAAGGCGACGAUCCCUAACUGGUCUGAGAGGAUGAUCAGGCACACUGGAACUGAGACACGGUCCAGACUCCUACGUGAGGCAGCAGUGGGGAAUAUUGCACAAUGGGCGAAAGCCUGAUGCAGCCAUGCCGCGUGUAUGAAGAAGGUCUUCGGAUUGUAAAGCACUUUAAGUGGGGAGGCGUUACCAGCAGAAGAAGCACCGGCUAAAUCCGUGCCAGCAGCCGCGGUAAUAC
rnacentral:rRNA from 1 species